AACAGCAGCGUAGCUGAACAUCUUACGGAUGGCCCAGGGCUCCAAAGGCUCGUUUCCUAAGUGAGAGAGAGCCUGGCUGAAGCUGUAUUACCAUUCAUUCUCCAGCCUCCGAAGUCUCAAAGCAUCACUUCCACCAUACUCUAACUGUCAAGACAAACACAAAGGCCCAGAAACUGCCAGACUGUCUUCUGAAGUGGCUAUAAUAUUUACACUCCCAUCAGCAGUGUAGAAGGGGUCUCACUAUGUUGUCUGGAGUGCUGUGGUGGAGUGGAGUGGCUAUUCACAGCUGAGUUUGCAGAGUAAACCACUACCCUGAAAUCUGGAAAGGCAGGUGCACCCACAGAUCCUCAGCUGAGAUCCAAUUACCUGAAAUAGAAGCUGCCAUUAGGAACACUUAAAAGAGCCUGUUCUGCUGGGACACAGAAUCACUUGCUCCAUCUCAUACAUUGAUGAUGAUUAAUUUGUAUGUGUACCUUCCAAAAAAGAUGGUUGUGUUUGAAUGGAGGCCUUCUGGACAGGAAAAUUGCAAAGUACAAUUAACAUUUGAGUCUGUCUGAGUCAUGAAGAAAUGGAGAUUACUGAAAAUAAUUCAUUUUGGUAUCUUCUUACAUCCUGAGAGACUAAUCUUUCCAAGUUCAUCUGAGGCUCCUCUUCUCCAUGACAACCUCAUCCAGGGAUUUCUUCCUGUCCUGGUGUUUUAUGACAUGUGGAAGGGGACUGUAGCAGGUGAUCUCCAAAGUCUCUGGAGACUUACUAAUGUGCAUCCUCAUCUCGCUUGUAAGGAUAAUAGCCUUCCUCCAAACCUCACACACUUUUGGAGGAGAUCACUUUUUUUAAAGUGCAUGGAAAUGUUUUGAAACAGUGAAAUCUAUAAUGAUAGGUUUCAUAAUUCUAACAUCCACACCAUAUGAAUCACAUCCUUCCUGAGAUAAUGAGCACACAAUUGCCUGGAUACCUGAAGGAAUGGAGACAGCGGCAGAAAACACUGCAGAGAGGUGGAAACAUCCGUUAAUAUUUUAAAAUCCCAUUACUGCUACCAACAAUAAUAAUGGAUGCAUAGAAAUAGAUCUGGAUUAGCUGAGCUUGAAACAGUCCAUCUCACACACACACAAAAGAAUUUCAGAUACAGUGAACCCACAUGUUGAAGCUUUCUAGUAUAAUAAAAAUUUCAACUGUUCUGUUGAAUCAUCUGCCUGAUUGGAGGCUACAGAAAAGAUGUCAUCUUAGGAGUGCUUGCUCUGAGUGAGGCUCAUCUUCAAAUCUGAAUGACCACAAGGAGAUUUGAUUAUACAUGUGAACACCUCAGAAGGCACAGCCCACCCAGAAGGCAGACAGGUCAGGCUGCUUUUUCUUCAUUGCUUGGAUUCAAUCCUCCGGGCGGCUCAGGCUCAAACAUAACUUAAGCAUGAUUAAACUUUAGAAGAAGCUGCCAGGAAGACUGUGAAAUCUUCAUGCCCAAGGAUCCCUAAAAUUAGGAGCAACAACCACUUGGCUCAGACGGUUUAUGGAGGCAAAGGUUUGGAUGGGAUUAGAGAUUUCUAAAUGAGGAGACAGACACUAGAGCUCACCGGCUCGCCCUCUCACUCCUACUCAUCUGAGAAGGCAGCCAGCUAACCCUUCAGCCAGGAAGAGGGUCCUCAUCAGAACCUGGCCGUGGUGGCAUCCAGAUCUUGAACCUCCGGACUCCAGACUGUGAGAAAAUAAGUGUGUUGUUUAAACU
ensembl:lncRNA LINC00635 long intergenic non-protein coding RNA 635